rnacentral:rRNA from 1 species
CCUACGGGAGGCAGCAGUGGGGAAUAUUGGACAAUGGGCGAAAGCCUGAUCCAGCCAUGCCGCGUGUGUGAAGAAGGCCUUCGGGUUGUAAAGCACUUUCAGUGGGGAAGAAAGCCUUGGGGCUAAUACCCUCGAGGAAGGACAUCACCCACAGAAGAAGCACCGGCUAACUCCGUGCCAGCAGCCGCGGUAAUACGGAGGGUGCGAGCGUUAAUCGGAAUUACUGGGCGUAAAGCGCGCGUAGGCGGUCUGAUAAGCCGGUUGUGAAAGCCCCGGGCUCAACCUGGGGACGGCAUCCGGAACUGUCAGGCUAGAGUGCAGGAGAGGAAGGUAGAAUUCCCGGUGUAGCGGUGAAAUGCGUAGAGAUCGGGAGGAAUACCAGUGGCGAAGGCGGCCUUCUGGACUGACACUGACGCUGAGGUGCGAAAGCGUGGGUAGCAAACAGGAUUAGAUACCCUGGUAGUC